UACAGAGGUCCCAAGCGUUGUUCGGAUUCACUGGGCGUAAAGGGUGCGUCGGCGGUUGGGUAAGUCUGUCGUGAAAUCUCCGAGCCUAACUCGGAAACUGCGUCGGAUACUAUUCAACUCGAGGAAUGGAGGGGAGACUGGAAUUCUCGGUGUAGCAGUGAAAUGCGUAGAUAUCGAGAGGAACACCAGUGGCGAAGGCGAGUCUCUGGACAUUUCCUGACGCUGAGGCACGAAAGCCAGGGGAGCAAACGGG
rnacentral:rRNA from 1 species